GGUCCCAUAGCUCAGUUGGUUAGAGCGUCGUACUAAUACUCCUCGUCUGUCCGGGAUGAGCUGUAUCAAGUAAAUGCGAAGGUCGAGAGUUCAACCCUCUCUGGGACCA